CCAAUAGCGUAUAUUAAAGUUGUUGCAGUUAAAAAGCUCGUAGUUGAAUUUCGGGAUCAGUACGUCGGUCGUGCCUUCGGUAUGUACUGGUGUCACUGGUUCCUCCCUUCUGACGAACCGUCAUGCCAUUCACUUGGUGUGGCGGGAAAUCAGGACUGUUACUUUGAAAAAAUUAGAGUGUUUAAAGCAGGCUCACGCUUGAAUACAUUAGCAUGGAAUAAUGAAAUAGGACGUUGAUCUUAUUUUGUUGGUUUCUAGGAUUGACGUAAUGGUUAAUAGGGAUAGUUGGGGGCAUUAGUAUUCAAUUGUCAGAGGUGAAAUUCUUGGAUUUAUUGAAGACUAACUACUGCGAAAGCAUUUGCCAAGGAUGUUUUCAUUAAUCAAGAACGAAAGUUAGGGGAUCGAAGACGAUCAGAUACCGUCGUAGUCUUAACCAUAAACUAUGCCGACUAGGGAUCGGAUGAUGUUAAUUUUUUAAUGACUCAUUCGGCGCCUUACG
rnacentral:rRNA from 1 species